AUAACGGUUAAUUAGAGCAGUUUGGCAUGCCCCAAAGUUCAAGUUACUGGGAGUACGCUGAUGAAAUAAAAACCAAGGACACUUCAAAUGCCAUCGCUUUUUAUCUAUGAAUUCGGAAAUAAAAGCGCACAAUCACGGCACAUAAGUUAUGGAUUGCCCGGUCCAACUCCACCUUUCACCAAGAACGAAAAAUCAUUAUUCCCCCACAUAAAAGAGGUACAGCAGCAGCACUGGACAAUGUAUCAGGUAAUUUAAUGAGAACCAUGCAAGAUCUCACCAAUGGCUUGCAUACCCGCCAUAUGACUUCCAUACGUUUGGGUUGAUAUUUACUAUAGUGUCAGCAGCUGAGCCUAUUCUCGCUUUUGGCACGUUACUGGAGAUAUGUACACAAAACAUUCUUGGGGGAGCGGGGAAUGGCAAUACAGCAUUAAAUACAAAAUAUUGGUGUGGCUGUAAUGGCCUUUGUCACAGAGCAUCGAUGGUUAUCCUAAAUUCCUAAACCCGUUACGCCAGCUGACCUGACUUCUAUCUUGCCCCAUGGAUCUCACGCCUUAAAUUUGGAAGCGCAUGUGGGAGAUAUUUUUAUGUCACUGGGGUUUUCUAGAAAACAAUUCGACUGAGAGUGUGGGGUUGUCGUGAGUUAAUAACUGCUUGUUAGUUCGUAGGUGCUUGUAUCCCGCACCAAAGUCCAGUUCAUGGGGGCUUUGGAAAACAUUAUGUUUCUUGCGCAAGAACCCUGCUCUGUUUACAACUCCUAAGGCAGGUGGAUCGGACACCGGGAUGUACCAUCGUCGUCAAUCAGGACACGGCUCUAGAAAUCACAUCAUACGCAUAAGUGAUCAACCCUCUUAGGACAACCUCUGCCCUUAAUAGG
rnacentral:sRNA from 2 species